rnacentral:rRNA from 1 species
UACGUAGGGGGCUAGCGUUGUCCGGAAUCAUUGGGCGUAAAGCGCGUGUAGGCGGUCCGGUAAGUCCGCUGUGAAAGUCGGGGGCUCAACCCUCGGAUGCCGGUGGAUACUGUCGGGCUUGAGUACGGUAAGAGGCGAAGUGGAAUUCCUGGUGUAGCGGUGAAAUGCGCAGAUAUCAGGAGGAACACCAAUUGCGAAGGCAGCUCGCUGGGACGUGACUGACGCUGAGACGCGAAAGCGUGGGGAGCAAACAGG